ACUGGGGGUAGAGCACUGUUAAGCUAGGGGGUCAUCCCGACUUACCAACCCUUUGCAAACUCCGAAUACCAGUAAGUACUAUCCGGGAGACACACGGCGGGUGCUAACGUCCGUCGUGGAGAGGGAAACAACCCAGACCGCCAGCUAAGGUCCCAAAUUACUACUAAGUGGGAAACGAUGUGGGAAGGCUCAGACAGCCAGGAUGUUGGCUUAGAAGCAGCCAUCAUUUAAAGAAAGCGUAAUAGCUCACUGGUCGAGUCGGCCUGCGCGGAAGAUGUAACGGGGCUAAGUAGUAAACCGAAGCUGCGGCAAUGCACUUUAGUGCAUUGGGUAGGGGAGCGUUCUGUAAGCGGUUGAAGGUGUGUGGUAACGCAUGCUGGACGUAUCAGAAGUGCGAAUGCUGACAUGAGUAACGAUAAAGGGGGUGAAAAACCUCCUCGCCGGAAGACCAAGGGUUCCUGUCCAACGUUAAUCGGGGCAGGGURAGUCGACCCCUAAGGCGAGGCCGAAAGGCGUAGUCGAUGGGAAACGGGUUAAUAUUCCCGUACUUCUUACAAUUGCGAUGGGGGGACGGAGAAGGCUAGGUGGGCCUGGCGACGGUUGUCCAGGUUCAAGUGCGUAGGCUGUAAGAGUUAGGUAAAUCCGGUYUCUCUUAAGGCUGAGACACGAYGUCGAGCAUACUACGGURGUGAAGUCAUUGAUGCCAUGCUUCCAGGAAAAGCCUCUAAGCUUCAGAUUGUAAGGAAUCGUACCCCAAACCGACACAGGUGGUCGGGUAGAGAAUACCAAGGCGCUUGAGAGAACUCGGGUGAAGGAACUAGGCAAAAUGGUACCGUAACUUCGGGAGAAGGUACGCUCUUGAUCGGUGAAGAGACUUGCUCKHUGGAGCWGMYGRSAGUCGCAGAUACCAGGUGGCUGCAACUGUUUAUUAARAACACAGCACUGUGCAAAAUCGWAAGAUGACGUAUACGGUGUGACGCCUGCCCGGUGCCGGAAGGUUAAUUGAUGGGGUUAGACUUCGGUCGAAGCUCUUGAUCGAAGCCCCGGUAAACGGCGGCCGUAACUAUAACGGUCCUAAGGUAGCGAAAUUCCUUGUCGGGUAAGUUCCGACCUGCACGAAUGGCGUAAUGAUGGCCACGCUGUCUCCACCCGAGACUCAGUGAAAUUGAAAUCGCAGUGAAGAUGCUGUGUACCCGCGGCUAGACGGAAAGACCCCGUGAACCUUUACUAUAGCUUUACACUGGAUGCUGAUGUUGUCUGUGUAGGAUAGCUGGGAGGCUUUGAAACCACGUCGCCAGAUGCGGUGGAGCCAACCUUGAAAUACCAGCCUGACAUCAUUGGCGUUCUAACUCAGGUCCGUYAUCCGGAUCGAGGACAGUGUAUGGUGGGUAGUUUGACUGGGGCGGUCUCCUCCUAAAGAGUAACGGAGGAGCACGAAGGUACCCUCAGCACGGUUGGAAAUCGUGCAUUGAGUGCAAGAGCAUAAGGGUGCUUGACUGCGAGACAGACACGUCGAGCAGGUACGAAAGUAGGUUCUAGUGAUCCGGUGGUUCUGUAUGGAAGGGCCAUCGCUCAACGGAUAAAGGUACUCCGGGGAUAACAGGCUGAUACCGCCCAAGAGUUCACAUCGACGGCGGUGUUUGGCACCUCGAUGUCGGCUCAUCACAUCCUGGGGCUGAAGUCGGUCCCAAGGGUAUGGCUGUUCGCCA
rnacentral:rRNA from 1 species